UGCCGCGUGCAGGAAGACUGCCCUAUGGGUUGUAAACUGCUUUUAUACAGGAAGAAACCUUUUCACGUGUGAGAAGCUGACGGUACUGUAAGAAUAAGGAUCGGCUAACUCCGUGCCAGCAGCCGCGGUAAUACGGAGGAUCCAAGCGUUAUCCGGAAUCAUUGGGUUUAAAGGGUCCGUAGGUUGAUAAUUAAGUCAGAGGUGAAAUCCUGCAGCUUAACUGUAGAAUUGCCUUUGAUACUGGUUGUCUUGAGUUAUUAUGAAGUAGUUAGAAUAUGUAGUGUAGCGGUGAAAUGCAUAGAUAUUACAUAGAAUACCAAUUGCGAAGGCAGAUUACUAAUAAUAUACUGACACUGAUGGACGAAAGCGUGGGGAGCGAACAGGAUUAGAUACCCUGGUAGUCCACGCCGUAAACGAUGGUCACUAGCUGUUUGAACUUCGGUUUGAGUGGCUAAGCGAAAGUGAUAAGUGACCCACCUGGGGAGUACGUUCGCAAGAAUGAAACUCAAAUGAAAUUUGACGGA
rnacentral:rRNA from 1 species